rnacentral:tRNA from 1 species
UUUGGGGAUAUAGCUCAGCUGGUAGAGUGCUUGCCAUGAAUGCACAAAUCUCUGGGUUCAAUCCCCAGCACCACAAAA